AAUAUCCGAUGGUCUUCUUGGGGCGGAAGCUCUGAGAAGUAAAGGCACUUCGGUGCCGCGCGGAGAGGGGGCUGCGGCCCAUCAGCUAGACGGCGGGGUAAUGGCCCACCGUGGCAACGACGGGUAGGGGGCCUGAGAGGGUGGCCCCCCACAUGGGGACUGAGACACGGCUCCGACUCCUACGGGAGGCAGCAGUGGGGAAUCUUGGGCAAUGGGCGAAAGCCUGACCCAGCGACGCCGCGUGCGGGACGAAGCCCUUCGGGGUGUAAACCGCUUUUCCAGGGGAAGAAUAAGGUGAGGAGGGAAUGCCUCAUCGAUGACGGUACCCUGGGAAUAAGCCACGGCUAACUACGUGCCAGCAGCCGCGGUAAGACGUAGGUGGCGAGCGUUACCCGGAUUCACUGGGCGUAAAGGGCGCGUAGGCGGUUUGGCAAGUCGCCUGUGAAAGCCCCCGGCUCAACUGGGGGAGGUCGGGCGAAACUGCUAGGCUGGAGGACGGCAGAGGAAGGUGGAACGACCGGAGUAGCGGUGAAAUGCGUAGAUACCGGUCGGUAUCCCGAUGGCGAAGGCAGCUACCUGGACCAACACUGACACUGAGGCACGAAAGCGUGG
rnacentral:rRNA from 1 species